UACGUAGGGUGCGAGCGUUGUCCGGAAUUAUUGGGCGUAAAGAGCUCGUAGGCGGUCUGUCGCGUCGGUCGUGAAAACUUGGGGCUUAACCCUGAGCUUGCGGUCGAUACGGGCAUGACUGGAGUUCGGUAGGGGACACUGGAAUUCCUGGUGUAGCGGUGAAAUGCGCAGAUAUCAGGAGGAACACCGGUGGCGAAGGCGGGUCUCUGGGCCGAUACUGACGCUGAGGAGCGAAAGCGUGGGGAGCGAACAGG
rnacentral:rRNA from 1 species